rnacentral:rRNA from 1 species
AUGGACGGGGUGGGAGGAGGCGGUGGUGGCAUGGCCGGCAUGCCGGGAGCUCCUCAAAACAUUCUGGACGCCGGAGCUCAGGAGUACUACCCUAGUGCUGGCGCGCCCUACCCGCCCCCGCCGUUCCUGUCGCUUCCGCACCAGCUCUACUGCCCGCCGCCGUUCCCGGUCAUGCCGCCGCCGACGGCCAUGGCCAUGGCCAUGCCCAUGCCACAGCCGCAGACCGUCGCGAUUCCGCCGCAGAUUGGGCUCCCCGUGCCGACGGUAGCCGCGACGGCGGUCGACGGUCCGGCGAGCCGCGCGGUCGUGCUCAGCCUGCUGCCGCCACACACGCCGGAGAUCGAGGUGGCGCGCGCGAUGGCGCCCUUUGGCGACGUGCGCACGGUGGACGCGCCGGCGCUGGCGUCCGAGGGCGUGGCCACCGUGCACUUCUUUGACCUCCGCGCCGCCGAGAACGCCGUCACCGCGGUGCGCGAGCAGCACAUGCGGCAGCAGUGCCGCCUCAGCCAGCUGUACGCCGCCACGACCGCCUGGCCACCCCAGCCGCCGGCGUGGGACUGGCACCAGGACGACUGCCGGGGCCUCGUCCUCGGCCAGGCCGUAUGGGCUCACUUCGCCGCUGCCUCCACCCUCCCUGACGACGGCGCCAACCGCGGCUCCCUCGUCGUGCUCAAUUCGCUCCCGGACGUCUCCCUCUCCGAGCUCCGCCAGGCCUUCCAAGCUUACGGUCCCUUGAAGGAUGUGAGGGAGUCCGCGCAGCGGCCGAACCACAAAUUCGUGGAGUUCUUCGACACGCGCCACGCCGCCCGGGCGCUCGCCGAGCUCAACGGCCGGGACUUCUUCGGCCACCGCUUCAUCCUCGAGUUCACGCGCCCUUCUAUCCCCGGCGCACGCAGGCGCGGGUUCGUGUCGCCGCGACCCAUCGUCCCGACACCGCCCAGGCUGCAAGCGGCGUGGCGUCCCUUGCCGUCUCCGGCGAAACAGCCGUCGUCGUCGUCGACCGGCACGGGCAAGGCGAGGGGAGAGGUGGUUACCACGAGCAGGUGCUCCUCCAGGUCUAACGCGGGCGAUCGGUCCAAGGGUGGCACAAGCCAAGAACGGAAGGGCAAGGGCAAGGGCGGGAAGAAAGCCACAAUUGUCGUUGACACGACGUCGUCGUCUCCGGCUUCGGCUUCCGAGGCGGCGGCGACCGCGUCGGCGUCCGGCAAGCAGCAGCCACAGAAAGGAGUCAUCCGCGUGGGGAGCUGGAGAGGCCCCAAGAGCUGGAGAGGCGGGUGGGAGACGCGUUUCGAGUUCAAACAGCCCGCCGCUGCCGCCGACAGCAACGCCACCACCGCCGCCGACACGGACACGCAAGAAGCGGAGACGAGGACCACCGUGAUGAUCAGGAACAUACCGAACAAGUACAGCCAGAAGCUGCUGCUCAACAUGCUGGACAACCACUGCAUCGAGUACAACAAGAAGAUCGACGCCGGCGAAGGCGGCGGCGAGCCCUUCUCCUCCUACGAUUUCCUCUACCUCCCCAUAGAUUUCAACAACAAGUGCAACGUGGGCUACGGGUUCGUGAACCUUACCACGCCGGAGGCGGCCGUGCGGCUGUACAAGGCGUUCCACAAGCAGCCAUGGGAGGUGUACAACUCGCGCAAGAUCUGCCAAGUCACGUACGCGCGCGUGCAGGGCCUGGAGGCGCUCAAGGACCACUUCAAGAACUCCAAGUUCCCCUGCGACAGCGACGAGUACCUACCCGUGGUCUUCUCGCCGCCGCGCGACGGCAGGCAGCUCACCGAGCCGGAGCUCCUCGUCCCCCGCUCGCCCAUGCCGUCGCCGUCCUCGCCGCGGAAGGGCCAGGCCGCGGGCGUGGACCCGCUGGCGCUGGAGCUCAUGGCGCCGCCCUCGUCGUCCGGCGACGGCGCGUCCUCGACGAUGUCCACCCACGCCGACGAGGACGUCCAAGGCGCGAGCGGCAGCAGCGACAACGGCGACGACCGUGGGCUCGGCGAGGAGCUACAGCGCCUAGGGUACACCGACUAG